rnacentral:rRNA from 1 species
UACGUAGGUGGCAAGCGUUGUCCGGAUUUACUGGGCGUAAAGCGUGUGUAGGCGGGCCCUUAAGUAGAGAGUGAAAGGUUGGAGCUCAACUCCGACACUGCUCUCUAUACUGGGGGUCUUGAGUGCCGGAGAGGAAGAUGGAACUGCACGUGUAGCGGUGAAAUGCGUUGAGAUGUGCAGGAACACCAAUGGCGAAGGCAAUCUUCUGGACGGAUACUGACGCUGAGACACGAAAGCCAAGGUAGCAAACAGG